AUGUGUUGCAGCUCUUUUAGAAUUUGUCUAACAGGUUUUCUGGCUUUGGCUGGAAAAGCCUUU
rnacentral:snRNA from 1 species